UACGGGGGGGGUAAGCGUUGUUCGGAAUUACUGGGCGUAAAGGGCUCGUAGGCGGCCAACUAAGUCAUACGUGAAAUCCCUCAGCUUAACUGGGGAACUGCGUGUGAUACUGGAUGGCUUGGAUUUGGGAGAGGGAUGCGGAAUUCCAGGUGUAGCGGUGAAAUGCGUAGAGAUGUGGAGGAACACCAGUGGCGAAGGCGACUCUUUGGUCUGUAACUGACGCUGAGGCGCGAAAGCGUGGGGAGCAAACAGG
rnacentral:rRNA from 1 species